rnacentral:rRNA from 1 species
AUUCCAGCUCCAAUAGCGUAUACUAAAGUUGUUGCGAUUAAAAAGCUCGUAGUUGGAUCUCAGGUAUGGGCGCGCGGUCCGCCUCACGGCGGUCACUGCGUGUAUUUUUCCCAUCCUACGCUUCCCGGUUGUCAGCCCAUGGUGCUCUUCAUUGAGCGUUUUGGGUGGCCGGAAAUUUACUUUGAAGAAAUUAGAGUGUUCAAAGCAGGCACGUCGCCUGAAUAAUGGUGCAUGGAAUAAUGGAAUAGGACCUCGGUUCUAUUUUGCUGGUUUUCGGAACACGAGGUAAUGAUUAAGAGGGACAGACGGGGGCAUCCGUAUUGCGGUGUUAGAGGUGAAAUUCUUGGAUCAUCGCAAGACGAACAACUGCGAAAGCAUUUGCCAAGCAUGUUUUCAUUG